rnacentral:rRNA from 1 species
AUUGAACGCUGGCGGCAGGCCUAACACAUGCAAGUCGAGCGAGCGGCGGACGGGUGAGUAAUGUAUGGGGACUGCCCGAUAGAGGGGGAUAACUACUGGAAACGGUAGCUAAUACCGCAUACUAUCGGAUAACCCAUAUGGGAUUAGCUAGUAGGUGAGGUAAUGGCUCACCUAGGCGACGAUCCCUAGCUGGUCUGAGAGGAUGAUCAGCCACAUGGGGACUGAGACCGUGCCCAGACGCCUAAGGAGGCAGCAGUGGGGAAUAUUGGACAAUGGUCGCAAGCCUGAUGCAGCCAUGCCGCGUGUAUGAAGAAGGCCCUAGGGUUGUAAAGUACUUGCAGUCGGGAGGCGUUACCGACAGAAGAAGCACCGGCUAACUCCGUGCCAGCCGCCGCGGUAAUUC